rnacentral:rRNA from 1 species
GCCCGCUUGUAUUCUGGACAAGGCAAAGCACUCGUCCAGCAGAGAAGAAGAAUAAAAUAAAUCUAAGAUAUAUUCGGCCCUCCGGUCAAAAGACCGGGGGACACGGCGGGAGCCUGCGGCUUAAUUUGACUCAACACGGGGAAACUUACC